rnacentral:lncRNA from 1 species
AGGGAACCUUUUCUUCAAUCUUCUUGAUCCCACAACUUGCUGCGCCAGUAGGAAAUAAAUGUGUCCUUCCCUAGGGGGAUUUACGGAGCUCUGGCCCCACCCUGUAUGACCCUCUUUCAAGUCCUGCUUCUUGCCAGCCCUGGGCCUUGUUGGGUAACUGGCUGGGCUGCACCGAGGCCUGAGACAAGUUCUCCUACCAUUACUGUUUGGCCCCACACCCUGGCUGGCUCCACUGUCCCCAAGGCUCUGUGACGCGGCCACCGGUGGCCUGUCUCACAGCCAUCACUUCGUUCCUUGCUAAGAUAACCCAGUUUUGUUCAGGAACUUGUGGUUCUGUGGCUCGGGGUGUGGGGCUCACUCAGCCCCUCGCGCGCUAUGAACAAAUAGAGACAGACACAUGCUCAGGAACUGGCUGAGAUGAUGCCUUCACACGGAUGGAUGGAAUACCCACAAGGUAAUCCUGGAGACAUCUGCAGCUGGAAUUAUUGUAGCUUGGUGUACCCCAAUAUCUCCAGCUUUUUAAAAAACCUGAGACCUUUAUCAGCUGCUUCAGAUGAGCUUUGAGAUAUACAGAAAAUUUCUCAUUCAACAGAAAUUUAUUGUACUUAGCUUGUAUGCUAGGCUUUGGGGAUGCAAAUGAAUAACUAAGACUCAGACUUUUUC